rnacentral:tRNA from 1 species
AGGGGUAAAGCUCAAUUGUAGAGCAUAUACUUAGCAUGCAUGAGGUCCUGGGUUCAAUCCCCAGUAUCUCUG